rnacentral:lncRNA from 1 species
UGGCUGAGCUACAGCAGUGUUGAUCAGACAAUGAGACAGCCCAUCUGCGGUGGAAGGUGGCUGAGCUACAGCAGUGUUGAUCAGACAAUGCGACAGCCCAUCUGCGGUGGAAGGUGGCCGAGCUACAGCAGUGUUGAUCAGACAAUGAGACAGCCCAUCUGCGGUGGAAGGUGGCCAAGCUACAGCAGUGUUGAUCAGACAAUGAGACAGCCCAUCUGCGGUGGAAGGUGGCUGAGCUACAGCAGUGUUGAUCAGACAAUGAGACAGCCCAUCUGCGGUGGAAGGUGGCCGAGCUACAGCAGUGUUGAUCAGACAAUGAGACAGCCCAUCUGCGGUGGAAGGUGGCCGAGCUACAGCAGUGUUGAUCAGACAAUGAGACAGCCCAUCUGCGGUGGAAGGUGGCCGAGCUACAGCAGUGUUUAUCAGACAAUGAGACAUCCCGAAAAUCGGUCUUCUAACGAAAACGUCUGUUCGUCCAAAAGGUUUGGCCUAAAAACAAUCUGACCACUAUGGAUUGAUUUGACUGUUGCGAACACGAUGGUG